AUACGGAGGAUGCAAGCGUUAUCCGGAUUUAUUGGGUUUAAAGGGUGCGUAGGCGGUUUGCUAAGCGGGAGGUGAAAUGCCGGCGCUUAACGUCGGAAGUGCCUCCCGAACUGGUGGACUUGAAUGAAUCUGCCGUGGGAGGAAUGUGUAGUGUAGCGGGGAAAUGCUUAGAGAUUACACAGAACACCGAUUGCGAAGGCAUCUCGCGAAGGGUUGAUUGACGCUGAGGCACGAAAGCGUGGGGAUCAAACAGGAUUAGAUACCCUGGUAGUCCACGCAGUAAACGAUGAUGGCUAACCGCUGGGCUUAUCAGUUCAGUGGCCAAGCGAAAGCGAUAAGCCAUCCACCUGGGGAGUACGACCGCAAGGUUGAAACUCAAAUGAAUUGACGGGG
rnacentral:rRNA from 1 species